rnacentral:tRNA from 1 species
UGUAGCUCAGUGGUAGAGCACUUGCUUCGCAUGUGACAGGCCCUAGGUUCAAUCCCUAGCA